GACGAACGCUGGCGGCGUGCCUAACACAUGCAAGUCGAGCGAGUGAAUCUCCUUCGGGAGUGAAACUAGCGGCGGACGGGUGAGUAACACGUGGGCAACCUGCCUCAUAGAGAGGAAUAGCCAUUCGAAAGGAUGAUUAAUACCUCAUAAUAUUGUAGCUUCGCAUGGAGCAACAAUCAAAGGAGCAAUCCGCUAUGGGAUGGGCCCGCGGCGCAUUAGCUAGUUGGUGAGGUAACGGCUCACCAAGGCGACGAUGCGUAGCCGAGCUGAGGGGGUGAUCGGCCACAUUGGGACUUAGACACGGCCCAGACUCCUACGGGAGGCAGCAGUGGGGAAUAUUGCACAAUGGGGGAAACCUUGAUGCAGCAACGCCGCGUGGGUGAUGACGGCCUUCGGGUUGUAAAGCUCUGUCUUCAGGGACGAUAAUGACGGUACCUGAGGAAGAAGCCACGGCUAACUACGUGCCAGCCGCCGCGGUAA
rnacentral:rRNA from 1 species